UUGCACCACAGUUUCUCACUAGUAUUUAUCCCUGAGCUGUCUCUUAUAACAUUCACAUGCCUGAAAACAAACAAAUGGUAAGUCUUGCUGUGGCUCCAGUAAUGUUAAACUGUGCUCCUUUUUGUCAGUUAAACUGACAAUGAAGAUAAGAGAAGCCGGUGUCGGUAUCAUCUGUUGCAUAACAAACCACUCUUGACAAAAGAAGCAGCCUCCUGUCAAACGAAUUUCCUUUAUAACUGCCAAAGGGACUAUUUUUAGUUUCAUCUGCCAUUCUUUACUCCUUAAUCGUCUGUUUCGCUUUUUCAGUUUUUGUCUGUUUUCCUCUUUCCCAUCAGCUCUGAUACCAGGUGAUAAUUUGCUUCAGAGAAGCCACUGGGCUCUCUUCUGUGCUGAAGGCCUGUUCCUGGGGCUGGGUGCUGUGAGCACAUGUGCACUCCAUUCUGCUGCCUUGCUGCUGUAUCCAGGUCAGCUCUUGGGAGGGAAUAUUCAGAGGAGGAUGAAUAAAAAUCCAGACUAGGGGUUUCAAAGACAAACAACUUGCUGUUAAAUGAAAUAUCAUUUCAAGUUAAGGAAGGCAUUAUUUGACAAAACAAUAGAUAUCACUCAACGCCUGUCAAGUUAAAGAGUAACUGGAAGUUACUACAUUCUGAUCCAUUUAUUAUGGACUGCCUGACUUUCCAACCAUCAUGUGAGCAAUGUUUCCAACCAGAAUACGGCGGAAGCUGUCCUCACCCUUCCGGGGGCUACACCUGAAGAGUAAGCAAAUUUUGUGGGUAUUUUAAACCUUGUUUUAUUUUCUAUGAGCAACGUGAAGAUGAGUCAUUCGUGCUUGGGUCGGAAUGUAUAGUUGGUAAACAUUGGUGGUGAGAAAUCCUAUUGCUAGAUUUGUAAAUAAAAACAGUCCUGGCCUUCUAGAGGUGUAAAUAAAAACAGUGCUGGCUGCAGUUCUGUUAGUGAUGGGAAUCUUGGGUAGGAGAGGCAGGGAACACUGAGUGGCACACUCAGCUGGGCAUGACUGCUAGGGCACACGAUCCCAAGCCAUCCAGCCCAAGGGAGAUAGCAGGGGGAGAGGUGCUUCUCUGUGUCACCACACUGACACAAGCUGUGAAGCAGUUCUGAAUGAAAAGAAAAAUAAAAGGCCUUGUGCAGAUGCAUGUAUACAGAACAACGCAGAGCCUAAUGCAAAGGCCGCUGAAGCUAAAGAGAGACUUGCAUUCUGCAAUGAGCCCUGUGCACUUAGUUUACCCUCCAUACACUUUUUCUUAAACUGACAGUUUGAAGAAGGCAUUAGCCUGUAUCGUGGAAAAGCACGUGUCAUGAAGAAACUGCUCAGGAGAGCAAUCGCUUUCAAGUGCAUCUGCUUCUGUAAAACAUAAGGCUUUUCUAGUGCCCUGAAAAUCAUGAUGUUUGCAAGGAUUACAUUAAUGUUCUCCAUACACGAGCCAUGUGCCUCAAUAUGUACAGAAAGACCAGCACUGAGAGAACUUCAUGUAGACCCCUAACCGAAGAUGCUCAAGCAAUAUGGAAGGGAAACGUGGAAAGGGAACCUGGUGGUUCGCUCCUUCUCUGCUCGCCAACAUAAGUGCACAGGACUCCUACUGUGGCAAGAUGCUGAAUGCCAGACAUGGAGCACUCCCUGGCUUUGUUGUACUGGGGCUACUCCAACGUUGUCCUGCCCAGCAGGCUGAGUCUCCCUGUUCCCACCCAGUGACUACAACUCUGCAUCACUCCACUACUGCCUGGCCAUGCAAAGCAUGUGUGAGACCCAGCACAUGCCUCCAGUGACACCAGGUUGGAGUUACCCUGAUGAGUAAUAGCGUGUAAAACUCAAUUACAUUCAGAUUCAUAGGCGCCUGCUACUUCAAAUGCUAAGAGUGGGGAAAUCUGCCCUACAGGAAUGAGGAUGGGGGCAAACUUUUAUUAGCCUCAUGUUGGCUUUAUCUAUUUUAAAUGUUUCAUUAUUGUAGGGAGAGAAGUGCCAUUGUUAACAGCAUUACAGGCAGUCAGCUG